GAUGAAGAACGUAGCGAAAUGCGAUAAGUAAUGUGAAUUGCAGAAUUCAGUGAAUCAUCGAAUCUUUGAACGCAUCUUGCGCUCCUUGGUAUUCUGAGGAGCAUGCCUGUUUGAGUGUCAUUAAAUUCUCAACUACACUGACUUUGAAUUGGUGUGGCUUGGAUUUGGGGGGAAAAUUGUUGUGGGCUUUUUGUAUAGUCUGCUCCCCUGAAAUUGAUUAGCGGUACCUUUGUGGAACUGUCUACAGGUGUGAUAAUUAUCUACAUCUUAGACAUCUGCUGGAAUGCUGCUUUCUAAACCUUACUUGUGUUGACAAUCUUGACCUCAAAUCAGGUAGGACUACCCGCUGAACUUAAGCAUAUCAAUAAGCGAGGA
rnacentral:misc_RNA from 1 species